rnacentral:rRNA from 1 species
AGCUCCAAUAGCGUAUAUUAAAAUUGUUGCGGUUAAAACGCUCGUAGUUGGAUAUCUGUGAGCGGUGGUUUUCCGGUCCUUCCCAGUGAAGAUUACACGGAACUCCGCUCGCAUUUGUUCAGGGAGGGUGGAUGAACUUCACUGUUCGACCACAUGAUCUGGAUUUUUACUUUGAGGAAAUGAGAGUGUUCCAAGCAGGCAAUCGCCGUGAAUAUGAUAGCAUGGAAUAAUAGCACAGGACUCUUGGUUCAAUGCUGUUGGUUUGUUGGACUAGAGUAAUCAUAAUAAGGAUAGUUGGGGGUAUUCGUAUUUAACUGUCAGAGGUGAAAUUCUUGGAUUUUUUAAAGACGAACAAUUGCGAAGGCAUCUACCCAGGAUGUUUUUG